UAUAGUCCGUACAGAAUGACUUCUCACGCGCCAUUUGAACUAUGGGACAACUGUCAUGACAAAAGUACGGUUCACCUUUAAAUUAUGGACUAAAAUUGUACUUUUGACAUGACAUUUGACACAUAAAGUCAAAAUGGCACGUGAAAAGUCAUUUUUAAUGCAUUACAAUACGCAUUUUUUUUAAUAGUCUA